rnacentral:ncRNA from 2 species
AUCAGAGUAGGAAAUAGAACGUUUAGUGCUGAGAGGAUGGGAUAUUGCCUUUCUGACAAAGGACAAUUAGAUGUUCGCGGUUUUAUUUUCGCAUUCGCUGCA